AGAGUUUGAUCAUGGCUCAGAACGAACGCUGGCGGCAGGCUUAACACAUGCAAGUCGAACGCGUGUAGCAAUACACGAGUGGCGCACGGGUGAGUAACGCGUGGAUAUCUGCCUUUUGGUUCGGAAUAACCCCGGGAAACUGGGGCUAAUACCGGAUGGUUCCUACGGGAUAAAGAUUUAUCGCCAAAAGAUGAGUCCGCGUCCGAUUAGCUAGUUGGUGAGGUAACGGCUCACCAAGGCGACGAUCGGUAGCUGGUCUGAGAGGACGAUCAGCCACACUGGGACUGAGACACGGCCCAGACUCCUACGGGAGGCAGCAGUGGGGAAUAUUGGACAAUGGGGGCAACCCUGAUCCAGCCAUGCCGCGUGAGUGAUGAAGGCCUUCGGGUUGUAAAGCUCUUUUGGCGGGGACGAUGAUGACGGUACCCGCAGAAUAAGCCCCGGCUAACUUCGUGCCAGCAGCCGCGGUAAGACGAAGGGGGCUAGCGUUGUUCGGAAUUACUGGGCGUAAAGCGCGUGUAGGCGGUUGUCCAAGUUGGAUGUGAAAGCCUUGAGCUUAACUCAAGAAAUGCAUUCAGGACUGGAUGACUAGAGGACCGGAGAGGAUAGUGGAAUUCCCAGUGUAGUGGUGAAAUACGUAGAGAUUGGGAAGAACACCAGUGGCGAAGGCGGCUAUCUGGACGGUUUCUGACGCUAAGACGCGAAAGCGUGGGGAGCAAACAGGAUUAGAUACCCUAGUAGUCC
rnacentral:rRNA from 1 species